rnacentral:rRNA from 1 species
UGGGGAAUAUUGCACAAUGGGCGCAAGCCUGAUGCAGCCAUGCCGCGUGUGUGAAGAAGGCCUUCGGGUUGUAAAGCACUUUCAGCGAGGAGGAAGGGUUCAGUGUUAAUAGCACUGUUCAUUGACGUUACUCGCAGAAGAAGCACCGGCUAACUCCGUGCCAGCAGCCGCGGUAAUACGGAGGGUGCAAGCGUUAAUCGGAAUUACUGGGCGUAAAGCGCACGCAGGCGGUUUGUUAAGUCAGAUGUGAAAUCCCCGCGCUUAACGUGGGAACUGCAUUUGAAACUGGCAAGCUAGAGUCUUGUAGAGGGGGGUAGAAUUCCAGGUGUAGCGGUGAAAUGCGUAGAGAUCUGGAGGAAUACCGGUGCGAAGGCGGC